rnacentral:misc_RNA from 1 species
GCAAACUUGGUCAUUUAGAGGAAGUAAAAGUCGUAACAAGGUCUCCGUUGGUGAACCAGCGGAGGGAUCAUUAGCGAGUUCUGCACUCCUAAAUUCCCGCGAACCUGUCCCGAGUGAAGCGUUGCCUCGGCCGGGGGGGCCCCAGGGCGGGGUGCUGAACCUGGCCAAGCCAGGUCCCGGCCGGCGGCGGAAAGUCCCGAAGAUUUUUUUCUCCUUCUUCUUCUUCGCCCCAUGCGGCUGCUCUGAGUACAUGUGGGUGGUAAUUCGUGAACAACUUUCAACAACGGAUCUCUUGGUUCUGGCAUCGAUGAAGAACGCAGC